CCAAUGUUGUUACGGCAGUAUUGGGGUUGUAGGACCACGAUAUUUCUUGCGGAUUUAAUUAGAAUUACCUGGAAAGGUAAACCGAAGAGGGUGAAAGUCCCGUACAAGUAAGAGAAGAUAAGAAUAGUGGUAUCCUGAGUAGGUCGGGGCACGUGAAACCUUGAUUGAAUCCGGCGGGACCAUCCGCCAAGGCUAAAUACUCCUGAGAGACCGAUAGUGAACCAGUACCGUGAGGGAAAGGU
rnacentral:rRNA from 1 species